AUACGUAGGUGGCGAAGCGUUGUCCGGAAUUAUUGGGCGUAAAGGGCGUGUAGGUGGAUUCUUAAGUCGUGUGUCUAAGUGCGGGGCUCAACCCCGUAUAGGCGCAGGAAACUGGAGAUCUUGAGUGCAGGAGAGGAAAGUGGAAUUCCCAGUGUAGCGGUGAAAUGCGUAGAUAUUGGGAGGAACACCAGUGGCGAAGGCGACUUUCUGGACUGUGUCUGACACUGAGGCGCGAAAGCCAGGGGAGC
rnacentral:rRNA from 1 species